rnacentral:rRNA from 1 species
AGGAAGGGUGGGGAUGACGUACAAAUCAGCACCGGCCCUUACCGUCCGAGGGCUACACACGUGUUACAAUGGCCAGUACAGGAGGCAGCCCACCCCGCGAGGGGGCGCUAAUCCUAAAAGCUGGUCCCAGUUCGGAUCGGAGUCUGCAACCCGACUCCGUGAAGCUGGAUUCGCUAGUAAUCGCGCAUCAGCCACGGCGCGGUGAAUACGUUCCCGGGCCUU